rfam:Thauera sp. 27 Cont28, whole genome shotgun sequence.
CGGUAGCUGGAUAAAACCGGGCCAUUGGCCAAACCCAGCCCAUCAACUGCAGCACCUGUCCCGC